GCCCGCUUAGCUCAGUUGGUCAGAGCAACGGAUUCUUAAUCCGUGGGUCCUAGGUUCAAGUCCUAGAGCGGGCACCA
rnacentral:tRNA from 1 species